rnacentral:rRNA from 1 species
UAGUCAUAUGCUUGUCUUAAAGACUAAGCCAUGUAUGUCUAAGUAUAAGUAUUAUACAGCGAAACUGCGAAUGGCUCAUUAAAACAGUUAUAGUUUAUUUGACAAUCGAAUUUACAUGGAUAACCGUGGUAAUUCUAGAGCUAAUACAUGCUGGUGUGCCCAACUUUUUGGAAGGGCGGUAUUUAUUAGAUAACAAGCCAAUAUUCCUCUGGUCUAUUGUGGUGACUCAUAAUAACUGAUCGAAUCGCAAGGCCUAUGGCCGCGAUAAGUCAUUCAAGUUUCUGCCCCAUCAGCUUUCGAUGGUAGUGUAUUGGACUACCAUGGCGUUUACGGGUAACGGAGGAUUAGGGUUCGAUUCCGGAGAGGGAGCCUGAGAAACGGCUACCACAUCUAAGGAAGGCAGCAGGCGCGUAAAUUACCCAAUCCUGAUUCAGGGAGGUAGUGACAAGAAAUAACGGACCGAGGCCCUCGGGCUUCGGAAUUGCAAUGAGCCGAAUUUACACCCCUUAGCGAGGAUCAAUU